rnacentral:rRNA from 1 species
UACGUAGGUGGCAAGCGUUGUCCGGAUUUACUGGGCGUAAAGGAGCGCGCAGGCGGUCAUUCAAGUCGAGUGUGAAAGCCCCCCGGCUCAACUGGGGAGGAUCACGCGAUACUGUUCGACUCGAAGGCAGGAGAGGGAAGCGGAAUUCCUGGUGUAGCGGUGAAAUGCGCAGAUAUCAGGAGGAACACCGGUGGCGAAGGCGGUUCUCUGGGCCUGUACUGACGCUGAGGAACGAAAGCGUGGGGAGCGAACAGGAUUAGAAAACCCGA